rnacentral:rRNA from 1 species
UACGAGGGGGGCGAGCGUUGUUCGGAAUUAUUGGGCGUAAAGGGUGCGUAGGCGGUUCGGUAAGUUUCGUGUGAAAUCUUCGGGCUCAACUCGAAGUCUGCACAGGAAACUAUCUGGCUUGAGUGUGGGAGAGGUGAGUGGAAUUCCGAGUGUAGAGGUGAAAUUCGUAGAUAUUCGGAAGAACACCAGUGGCGAAGGCGACUCACUGGACACGUAUUGACGCUGAGGUGCGAAAGCGUGGGGAGCAAACAGG